GAUGAAGAACGUAGCGAAAUGCGAUAAGUAAUGUGAAUUGCAGAAUUCAGUGAAUCAUCGAAUCUUUGAACGCACAUUGCGCCCGCCAGCAUUCUGGCGGGCAUGCCUGUUCGAGCGUCAUUUCAACCCUCGAGCCCCCCCGGGGGCCUCGGUGUUGGGGGACGGCACACCAGCCGCCCCCGAAAUGCAGUGGCGACCCCGCCGCAGCCUCCCCUGCGUAGUAGCACACACCUCGCAUCGGAGCGCGGAGGCGGUCACGCCGUAAAACGCCCAACUUUCUUAGAGUUGACCUCGGAUCAGGUAGGAAUACCCGCUGAACUUAAGCAUAUCAAUAAGCGGAGGA
rnacentral:misc_RNA from 1 species